rnacentral:rRNA from 1 species
AGUGGACGCUGGCGGUAGGCCUAACACAUGCAAGUCGAACGGCAGCACAGUAAGAGCUUGCUCUUACGGGUGGCGAGUGGCGGACGGGUGAGGAAUACAUCGGAAUCUACUUUUUCGUGGGGGAUAACGUAGGGAAACUUACGCUAAUACCGCAUACGACCUACGGGUGAAAGCAGGGGAUCUUCGGACCUUGCGCGAUUGAAUGAGCCGAUGUCGGAUUAGCUAGUUGGCGGGGUAAAGGCCCACCAAGGCGACGAUCCGUAGCAGGUCUGAGAGGAUGAUCAGCCACACUGGAACUGAGACACGGUCCAGACGCCUACGGGAGGCAGCAGUGGGGAAUAUUGGACAAUGGGCGCAAGCCUGAUCCAGCCAUACCGCGUGGGUGAAGAAGGCCUUCGGGUUGUAAAGCCCUUUUGUUGGGAAAGAAAAGCAGCAGGUUAAUACCCCGCUGUUCUGACGGUACCCAAAGAAUAAGCACCGGCUAACUUCGUG